rnacentral:rRNA from 1 species
UACAGAGGGUGCGAGCGUUAAUCGGAAUUAUUGGGCGUAAAGGGUGCGUAGGUGGUUUGAUAAGUUAGGUGUGAAAGUCCUGGCUUAACCUGGGGAUUGCGCCUAAUACUGUUAAGCUAGAGUACUGUAGAGGAAGGUGGAAUUUCCGGUGUAGCGGUGAAAUGCGCAGAUAUCAGGAGGAACACCGGUGGCGAAGGCGGUUCUCUGGGCAUUACCUGACGCUGAGGAGCGAAAGCAUGGGGAGCGAACAGG